rnacentral:lncRNA from 1 species
GAAGCAUUACAUAUCUAAAGCCUAAAACCAAGAUUAUGUAAGAGAAUACUUGAACUUCCGGCGAGACAUAAGAAUCUUGAACUCGGCACUAAUGAUUGCACUUUGAAGAGAAGAACAAAACAAACUCCAACUUAAAGGAUAGAACCAGGUAAGUAACUCUGAGGCAAACCUGAAAAUCAUUUAUCCAUAGAACCAUAAAGAAAGUUGGUGAAGAACUCAAAAGACG